rnacentral:rRNA from 1 species
AACGAACGCUGGCGGCAUGCCUAACACAUGCAAGUCGAACGAGACCUUCGGGUCUAGUGGCGCACGGGUGCGUAACGCGUGGGAACCUGCCCUUAGGUUCGGAAUAACUCCCCGAAAGGGGUGCUAAUACCGGAUAAUGUCUUCGGACCAAAGAUUUAUCGCCUUUGGAUGGGCCCGCGUUGGAUUAGCUAGUUGGUAGGGUAAAAGCCUACCAAGGCGACGAUCCAUAGCUGGUCUGAGAGGAUGAUCAGCCACACUGGGACUGAGACACGGCCCAGACUCCUACGGGAGGCAGCAGUGGGGAAUAUUGGACAAGGGGCGAAGGUCUGAUCCAGCAAUGCCGCGUGAGUGAUGAAGGCCUUAGGGUUGUAAAGCUCUUUUACCCGGGAUGAUAAUGACAGUACCGGGAGAAUAAGCUCCGGCUAACUCCGUG